CCAAGCAAGUAUUUUAAAUUUCAAAAAAGGUACCACAGAUGUAAUGACUUUUAAAGUUGGUACUGCAAGCAUUGUGACUUGCAAAGCUGCUUAGUUGUAUGACUUUUUAUUAAAAAAAUUUGUUCUGGCCAAGAUGGAUUUCGUCAUCAAUUAAAAUGUAUUAUAGUUGAGUGUGACCUUGGAAUUUUUGUGUCUGAUGAUUUGAAAUUAAAAUCACAAGGUGAUGCAGCAGUAGCAAAAACUAAUUGGAAAUUAGGUGUGCUAAAAAAAGCAUUCUGAGGAUGCGGUGUAUUCCUCGGGAAAAUAUUAUACACUUCAUAUAUUCGACCUCAUCUAGAGUUGCAAUUCAAGCCUGGUCACCACACCGUAUUAACGAUAUCAACAAAUUCAACAUCGUGCAAUAAAAUUAAUAAACUCCUUGAAACACCAUAACUAUGAACAAAGGUUAGAAGCACUUGGACUGACAACACUAGAAGCGAGGAGGAAAAGAGUGGAUCUUAUAGAACAAUUCAAAAUCAAUCAAAAUCUUGAACAAGUAGAUUUCUAUGUACCAAAACGUUACCCCUUUUCCAAAUCAGCGUCAUACAACCUAAGGCGGAACCAUGAGUUUAUGCUUCAACCGCAGCGAGUCAAAAACUGUUUAAAGAGACAACUUUUUUACAAAUCGUGUUUGUGCAUCAUGGAAUGCACUUUCCAGCAACACCAUAAACUCAAAAUCUGUUAAUAUUAUCAAGUCAAAAUUGCAGCAUCAGAACACUCACAAAUAAUAGUACUAUAUGGAUCAGAUAUGUCAGCAUAGCAAAGCCUGGCGCCGAGCUCCGUUAAAUUUUAUAACAUUUUUUGUAAAAUUUGAUUUCUGAAUAAACUAAUCUAUAUAGUA